rnacentral:tRNA from 1 species
AGGACGCUAGUUUAAUAAAAACCCUUGAUUUCGGCUCAAGCACUUGUGGAUCGAAACCGCAGCCUCCUA